rnacentral:rRNA from 1 species
CUCGUAGGUGGCCAACUAAGUCAGACGUGAAAUCCCUCGGCUUAACCGGGGAACUGCGUCUGAUACUGGAUGGCUUGAGUUCGGGAGAGGGAUGCGGAAUUCCAGGUGUAGCGGUGAAAUGCGUAGAUAUCUGGAGGAACACCGGUGGCGAAGGCGGCAUCCUGGACCGACACUGACGCUGAGGAGCGAAAGCCAGGGAGCAAACG